rnacentral:lncRNA from 1 species
AGAAAACCAACUAGCAAAACUAAACUCCAUCAACAUCAUCCUCCAUCUUCAUCUGCUCCACCAAAAGCUUCAUAUAUUCUAGAGAGAAAAAGAAAUGAGUGGAGAGUUUAAGCCUUGAUAAGGCUACGGGAGGAUUCAUGGAAGAAGAUAUGAUGAUUCUAGCAAGAUCUAGCAAAGCAUCUAGCAUCUUAGAGGAAGAAAUCUAAGAAGUAAGUUCUUUAAAACCCUAACUCUUAUUUAUAUCCCUAAGUUUCAUAUCUUGUUAGAUCUUAUUGAUAUUUUGAGUUAUGGGUUGAGGAACAUCAUAAGGAUGAUGUUCAAAAGUUAUAUGAACCAUUAAAAGCAUCCAAGUGGAAUCAAACAAGCAAAAAUUCGAUCCUAUGCAUAAAGGAUGAACAUAUGGUUAAAAGAACAUGAAUGGACUGUUAUGGACCGAGUUUGAGGACAUUUUGUGGUUGUAUUUUACGUUUAAAAAUUUAAUACGAAAGUGGUAUAUUAUACUUCUUUGUGUUAUAAAGAUAACCCAGUUGGAAUGAACCAAAACGGAGUUAAAAUAAAUCCGUGGUAUGAUUUUAGUAAAACAUGUAAAACGAACAAGUUAAAACUAUUUUUGGGGGCUGUUCUUGAGCCAAUGUUUAUGAUGGUCUAGAAUGGAGAAUUAAGUUUUGUUAUGGUGGGUUGUGCUCUUUAGAGUUACGGAUAUAACCCAAUUGGAAUGAAGCAAAAAGAAGCUAAAACGAAUUUAUAGUGAAUGUUUUAGUAAAACAUGUAAAAACUGAAAAUUUGUAGACUGCUGACCCUAAGGAAAAAUUUAGCUAGAAUUUCUAGAAAAUUCUGGAUUUCUAGGGUAGUAUAGUAAACUGAAUAAGGAAGCCAUAGCCUUUGGAACGGACCCAUUCCGAGUUCGGACGAGCGAGUUAUGGCGUUCUACAGUAAACACAUCAAAACUGUCCAAUUUGGAAAAUCAGAUCCAGACUUGUCUCUUGUAUGAAUUUUCUGUACUUGUGUGUUCCAAAUUUGAAAAUGGUUAAAGCAUAAAAGUUGUAUCCCCGGAAGUUAGCUAUGCGUGGGCGCAAAAAUCGUUCAAAAAUAUUUUGAAAUGAAUUAGUUAAUGAUUGUUUUAGCGAGAGAGGGUAAAACUGGAAAAAAAUUGAAUAACUUAACUGUCCAAAUAUUUGUGUGGCUAUUUUAGGGUAGUUGGCAUGUACCAAAAAUUAGGGCCUUUUGUGUGCUGAAAGUACACAUUAUCAGGAAGUUCCAGUCCAAAAAUGGGCUCAAUCCGACUUUUGAGGCGAGAGUUAUGACCAACUGAAAAUUUAAGAAUUAAAACUUGAAACUGAUAAAUAUGAACCUACACAACCCAGAAAAUUAUGAAAUAUUAACGGGAAGUGCGUGAUGAUACGAAGAAGGUUCCAUGUAAAUUUUAGGAUGUUUGGGUAAAGACUAAAUUUAUUAAAAAUGCUGCAAUUUUGAGCAUUAAUGGCCUUUUAAGAAAAUAGUAAAUAAAGCUGAAAAAUUAAGGGAAAAAUAUUUUGCGUGUAAAAUAUUUUUACCUAAGUAUGGCCAAAAAGGAUAAAAAUAAUAAGGUAUCUAAGUGUCAUUGAUAAAUAUGUUGUGGUCAAAAAAGUAAGAAAGAAAUAAUUAAAUAUUGAUUGAUAAGUUAUAUAAUGUAAUUUUUUGACUUAUUUGUAAUAGAAAUGGAUGAACAAAGACUAAGGACGGGUAAUAUGAUUAUCCCUAUAUUAAUAUUAUAAUUUGAUAAUAAAUAUCGGGUAUGCAAUGAAG